rnacentral:tRNA from 1 species
GCGGGGAUAACCAAGAGGCCAAAGGUGGGCGCCUCAAGAGCGUCUCUCGCAGGAGUUCAAGGGUUCGAAUCCCUUUCCCCGCA